CAGCAGCCACGGUAAUACGUAGGGUGCGAGCGUUAAUCGGAAUUACUGGGCGUAAAGCGUGCGCAGGCGGUUGUGUAAGACAGGUGUGAAAUCCCCGGGCUUAACCUGGGAACUGCGCUUGUGACUGCACAGCUAGAGUAUGGCAGAGGGGGGUGGAAUUCCACGUGUAGCAGUGAAAUGCGUAGAGAUGUGGAGGAACACCGAUGGCGAAGGCAGCCCCCUGGGCCAAUACUGACGCUCAUGCACGAAAGCGUGGGGAGCAAACAGGAUUAGAUACCCGCGUAGUCCCUGUCUCUUAUAU
rnacentral:rRNA from 1 species